rnacentral:rRNA from 1 species
AAAUUGAAGAGUUUGAUCAUGGCUCAGAUUGAACGCUGGCGGCAGGCCUAACACAUGCAAGUCGAGCGGAAACGAGUUAUCUGAACCUUCGGGGAACGAUAACGGCGUCGAGCGGCGGACGGGUGAGUAAUGCCUAGGAAAUUGCCUUGAUGUGGGGGAUAACCAUUGGAAACGAUGGCUAAUACCGCAUAACGCCUACGGGCCAAAGAGGGGGACCUUCGGGCCUCUCGCGUCAAGAUAUGCCUAGG